rnacentral:rRNA from 1 species
UACAGAGGUCUCAAGCGUUGUUCGGAUUCAUUGGGCGUAAGGGGUGCGUAGGUGGCGUGGUAAGUCGGGUGUGAAAUUUCGGAGCUUAACUCCGAAACUGCAUUCGAUACUGCUGUGCUUGAGGACUGGAGAGGAGACUGGAAUUUACGGUGUAGCAGUGAAAUGCGUAGAGAUCGUAAGGAAGACCAGUGGCGAAGGCGGGUCUCUGGACAGUUCCUGACACUGAGGCACGAAGGCCAGGGGAGCAAACGGG